GAGACAGGGGAGAGCGAAGAAGAAAACUGAGCCCUAGGUUGAUUUGCCGUGGUCAUUUUGAAGGAGGAGCCGGGUCCACAGGGGGAGGUUCCAGGACUCUGCCCUUGGCAUUGUGGGUUGGGGGGCAGGGGGAGUCUCCUCCCUUCCCCUCAGCCCCCUUCCCCAGGGGCUGUGCUUCCAUGCUCCUAACCUCCCACCUUCAGCUCAGGACAUGUCCUAACUUAGGCUAAACUGUGAAAAUUCCCGUGGAGAUGGCCCAGGCCGAGCUUCCCAAGUGGGCCUCCCAGCCCACAGUCCAUAGAUUUCAGCAGAGAGCUGACCCUUCUCCAGCUGUGUCUGGGGCAGGGCCUGGGGCCGGGGGCCUUCCAGCUUCCGUCCCUUAUCUCUUCUCAAUGCACUUUAAUAAUGUAACAUAUUACUAAUAAACAAGCUAUUUAUU
rnacentral:lncRNA from 1 species